rnacentral:rRNA from 1 species
GAUUGAACGCUGGCGGCAGGCCUAACACAUGCAAGUCGAACGGUAACAGGAAGCAGCUUGCUGCUUYGCUGACGAGUGGCGGACGGGUGAGUAAUGUCUGGGAAACUGCCUGAUGGAGGGGGAUAACUACUGGAAACGGUGGCUAAUACCGCAUAACGUCGCAAGACCAAAGAGGGGGACCUUCGGGCCUCUUGCCAUCAGAUGUGCCCAGAUGGGAUUAGCUUGUUGGUGAGGUAACGGCUCACCAAGGCGACGAUCCCUAGCUGGUCUGAGAGGAUGACCAGCCACACUGGAACUGAGACACGGUCCAGACUCCUACGGGAGGCAGCAGUGGGGAAUAUUGCACAAUGGGCGCAAGCCUGAUGCAGCCAUGCCGCGUGUAUGAAGAAGGCCUUAGGGUUGUAAAGUACUUUCAGCGGGGAGGAAGGUGUUGUGGUUAAUAACCACAGCAAUUGACGUUACCCGCAGAAGAAGCACCGGCUAACUCCG